CUACGGGCGGCAGCAGUGGGGAAUAUUGCACAAUGGGCGCAAGCCUGAUGCAGCAACGCCGCGUGAAGGAUGAAGGCCUUCGGGUCGUAAACUUCUGUCCUUGGGGAAGAAACAAAUGACGGUACCCAUGGAGGAAGCCCCGGCUAACUACGUGCCAGCAGCCGCGGUAAUACGUAGGGGGCGAGCGUUGUCCGGAAUCACUGGGCGUAAAGGGUGAGUAGGCGGUAACGUGUGUCAGAUGUGAAAGGCGAGGGCUCAACCCUCGUAAGCAUUUGAAACUGCGUAUCUUGAGUGCAGGAGAGGUAAGCGGAAUUCCUAGUGUAGCGGUGAAAUGCGUAGAUAUUAGGAGGAACACCAGUGGCGAAGGCGGCUUACUGGACUGUAACUGACGCUGAGACACGAAAGCGUGGGGAGCGAACAGGAUUAGAUACCCGGGUAGUC
rnacentral:rRNA from 1 species